UUCUCCUUUCUAUUUGUGAACUCUUUUGAUAUGUUAUUUACUCCUAAUUUCAACUUUUCACGGUUUGUUCUUCCAGGAUUUCAGGGAGUAUGGACCAUGUAUGGACAGAUGUGAUCCUUAACUGUCGUUGUUCUUGGCGUGUUGCUGCCAUUUUACUGGGUAGAAUCUAUGCACGGCCGAGACCUCAGUCUAUCCACUGUACGAGUGUUUAAUGAAUUUACUCUUCUCCAUGGCGCGUCCAUGAGGGCAGAAAUUUCAUGCUUCAAAUCUGCUUGGCGAGAACCUUUUCAGGCCUGGAGAUGUCCUUGUGAACUGGUCAGUGAUUUUCGGAAAGUGGAGCUGCAUUCAAGGUUUGAGAUAUAGUUUAUGUCGAUUGGAUGAGUUGUUUGAUCUCUUUGCCCUGUUCUUCGAGAUGGGUUGCGAUGAAAACUCUUGGGGCCAUGAGCAACACUUGAGGCUCCUCUUCAUAAGCACAAAAGCUGCAGCAAGCAGAAAUUGGAGAGGUAAACCUAAUAGUGUUCAUUAUGAGCUAAUCUGGACCAUGUACAGAGUCCACCACAGUUCAAACAAAAUCUCUGUACUGAAGAUGGUGUGGCGUUGAAGCUGUCAUGUCCUCGGCCAUGCCCGCCCAUUGAAAUCUCUGUUAUUUUUCUCUACUUGUAUUCCACCUUUUCGUUGCAAUUCAAUUUUUAGGAUCAGCAGUAUCUAUGCGAUUAAUUUCAAACUUCGCAGGAUCUUUCAACAUGUCAGUUACACUCUAAUAAGUAUUCAUCUUUAAUUUCCUAACCUAUAGUGGGCAACACAGUUUGUUCUAUGUGCAUGAACACUGAUAAAUUAAUUUGUGUUAGUAUGUAGUGGUUCAAGGAUGCUAAAAUUUUGUACUAUAAUCUGUUUCCAGGUGCUUGAAACUUGCUUUUUUGUCGACCUAUAUUGCAACUUCUGCUGUAAUCAGCAUAGAAUUAUAUUGCUGCAUUACGGCGCUUUCCAUUAGAACACACGACUUAUGUUGAUCAUGCAAUUGUGUUCUUUGUUUUUUCUGUUUUGUGCAGUUGAAGAGCUUUGUACAGAACCGAAGAUUAGGAGGAAUGGAAAUAUAAGAAACAAUUCAGGAAGAUUCCCUAGGGAAGCAAAAAUUCUUUCCUGGUCUGUGUAGGUCCAUUUAGGAAAUUAGAUGACUGUUGUAAUAU